rnacentral:rRNA from 1 species
GACGAACGCUGGCGGCGUGCUUAACACAUGCAAGUCGAACGGAAAGGCCCUGCUCUUGUGGGGUGCUCGAGUGCCGAACGGGUGAGUAUCACGCGUGUAACCUCCCCUUGACUGUGGGAUAACUUCAGGAAACUGGGGCGAAUAUCCGAUAGGAGCUCCUGCUCCAUGUGGUGGGUUGGAAAGUUUCGGCGGUUGGGGAUGGACUCGCGGCUUAUCAGCUUGUUUGUGGGGUAGUUGCUUACCAAGGCUUUGACGGGUAGCCGGCAUGGGAGGGUAACCAGCCACAUUAGGCCUAAGAUACGGCCCAGAGUGCUACGGGAGGCAGCAGUGGGAAAUAUUGCGCAAUGGGCGGAAGCCUGAUGCAGCAACGCCGGGUGCGGGAUGACGGCCUUCGGGUUAUAAACCGCUUUCGCCUGUAACGAAGCGUGAGUGACGGUAAUGAGUAAAAAAGCACCGGCUAACUACGUG